rnacentral:lncRNA from 1 species
UCAUCUCAGUCGUUUCUCUCUCCCAGCUUGACCUUAGGUUAAUAUUUCAUUUGGGUCAAGAAAAGAAUAUGUAGGAGAGCUAUGUUGCUUUAACAAGAAAAUGGACAAAAAUGGAUAGUUUGCCUCAUUAAAGAACACGCAUGCUCGCAGAAGCCAUUACAAUCCCGUCGUGCAGCAGCCUGUGCUAUUGACCAGCCUAGAAGUCAUUUUUCGACUCAAGGGGAGAAGGGUGGGUUUCUGCUCUUUCCUUGCACCAUCUGAAGGACACGGCAGAAGAUAAAGGAAAAUGGCCAUGAGAUGCUCCAGCGGAGCUGGGUCCAAGGCCUGGCGCUCACCAAAGAUUGCACUACUCUCAGCAUGGUACAGGAAGACAACUGAUGGGACAAUGCAAGCUGGGACAAUCUCCAACCCAAAGGGUAUCUCAGAAAACAGCACUAGGUGAGACCACAGCACAACCCCAGUCAACCUUUAAAUCAGAAAAGGAGCUGGAGGAUGCAAUUCAUUGAUGUAUAGAAAGUUUUAAAAAGUAAAAACUGAAAUACAGAAAACAAAGUUUGCAAUGUGUAAGAAAUAAAGGACUGAAAUUUGUACCUACAACUCAGCCCAGUAGUGGAAUCCUGUUUGACAACGAGGUUUUCUUUGCCUCAGGGAAGCAUAGGGAAGCUAUGGGGGAAGCAAGAGGAGCUCUAGAAUGUGUUUUGUGACUGUCCCCUUUCCUUAAUUUUGGUUCUGUGCGGAAACAAACACAGACUAAGUCUAUGUAUAGCCAUAUCCGCUAUUCACUUGUAAAUGUUCCAAAUAAUUCAGGUAGCCUCUCAGAAGACACUCCAGCAUCACUUAGCUGGAUAUUUCAGGGCAACUCAUGUCAUGUUUGGAAAUAUCCAGAUAAUAUUCUAGUUGUCAUCUAGUUUUUUCCUUCACCAAAAAAAUGCUCAGCUGGACGUGGUGGCUCACGCCUACAAUCCCAGCACUUUGAGAAGCCGAGAUGGGAGGAUUGUUUGAGCCCAUAAGUUUGAGACCAGCCUGGGCAAUAUAGUGAGACUUCAUCUCUACAAAAAAUUUAAUAAUUAUCUCAGCAUAGUGGUGCUUGCCUGUAGUCCCAGCUACUCGGGAGGCUGAGGCGGGAACAUGGCUUGAGCCCAGGAAGUCAAGGCUGCAGUGAGCUGUAAAGGUGCCACUGCACUCCAGCCUGGGCAACAGAGUGAGGUCCUGUCUCAAAAAAAAAAAAAAAAAGAAAAAGAGAGAGAGAGAAAAGAAAAGAAGUGCUCAAAUUAGAAUCUCUGUAUAUACAGUAUUUAUCUAAACAUUCUCAUAUAUGUAAAAUUCCAGGGAUAUUGACAUCAUACAGAACAAGCAUACUUUGCAAAACCAGCAUGCUUCUUCUAUUUAAAGCAAUAUCCCCUGGGUGUGACCUGAGCUUGUAAAACAAGUUCAUUAUAUUUCCUUUCUGGAGACAACAUGUCAAACCUUAAAUAUGGCUACUAAUCAGAAGUUUAAUUAAAAAACUUCAGCCGUACGAUGAAGGAAGUUAUAUUCACCAGGGUUGAGAAUAAAUGGUAAUGUUUUCAAAGUCUGAGAAAAACCUAUAUUACUUGCCUUACUCAUCUACUUUGCUUACUACAAGCCCCUUUUAUCUUAUUUUCAUAUUAUUUAAUUUUCUCCCUGCCUGAAAGUAGCUUUAGUCUGUCUGAAAAAAUAUUAUAAUCCAAAAAAUGGCAAGGAGAAUUCAACAACAACAAAAAUAAUCAAAGCCAUUCAUGGUUCAUGUGCCCAGAUGAAGUUGUAUUUAUGGAACAGUCUUUUUUUCUAGAAGUCCAAUGUGUAAAUUAAGUUGCACCAAGGCAAGUCAAAUUAUUCCCUGGCCGUUUGUAGUAUGCAAUGUUUUAUGUGACUUUUUACCCUCUUAUUCAAUGAAACAAUACGUACUUGUAUAGCAGCCAGACGAAGCAGUGAGUCACAGUCAUCUAAGAGAUGCCAAGUACUGUACCUCCUUGAGGAAACACACUCACCAUGUGUAAUGAGGACUCUCUGGAUUUCCUGAAGUGAUUCAACAUAAAUUGAAUUCAACAUUGAACUGAAUAACCAUAGAUGUUGACAAUCACAAGAUCGGAUGUACUAGAGUACCACUUGUCUUUGUGUAACUCCCACUCAUUUAUUACCAGUUAAGAGAUGCACCCCUAUUAGUUGGAGUGGAACACUGUCACUCAAGCAAAGAGAUUACAGAAUGUAGCCAGUUCCUUGUGGAUAUAAAAUAAUCAAGACUUUUUGAGGAAAUGGUUGUCAGCUUUGGUUUUAUGCUAGAGACCUCCCAUUGAUCUCUUUUCUCAAAUUAUUCAGCUUUUAGCUCAAGAGGGAUGCUAAGCCAGGCUGGCCACCCAGGUAUUUGAUAAUAUAAGUCCUGGUGUCUAUACGAAAAGGAGCUUAUAAAAAUCCACAGCAUGCUAGAUGUCAUACCUACAGAAAUUAUUGCUUUUAAACUCAGGCAGAAUAGGAUAGAUUUGAUAUGAUUGGCAUUAGGGAGCCAAUGUGGGCUUUUGAGUGAGGAAGUAAAGAUUUGAUUGAAAAAUCACGUUGACUCCUAAAUUGUAUAAACACUAAUGCUUAGGGAAAUUCAACUUCUUUGUCCUUUGGAGACAGUAACCAGAAACAGAGAUUUGGGGGAUAUAGGAGUAAAAUGAUAAGAACAGGAGUGGGGGUCAGGGAGAAAGAUACAGUUGCCAAAGCUGUAGUGGACACGACCACUGGAUGGCAAAAAGGGCUUUACAUAUAGCUUGAACCAAGUUCUUUGAAGAAUAAGGCCAUUUGGACUUAGGCAAAAGACCAAUAAUCACCAGAGGACUUGGAUUUAUUAUCCAAACAUCUAGGUCCUUUAAUCACAAAGUGUUUGGAAGGUUGAAAUUUCAACCUAAAUUACAAAAGCAUCACAGCAAGGUUCCACCUGAACUAAAAGUUGGGGAAUCAACUAAAUCCCAAAGAAGAAAGGCUAGAAUGUGCCUCUUGAGUGGCAGGCCACUUCCAAACUGCCCAUUUGAUAGGUUCAAAUGGAAAGCCUCUCUCAAAACUCCAAUUCCGAGAUGACACCUAAUUUACUUUUUAACUUUUAUUCUUUGCCUAGAAUGAAUAAGAAAUAUGAGUGUUCUUUCAUUGUAAUGAUGAAUAUGAUUCCUUGUAUUUACAAGAUUCCUGUUCUGUAAUAAUUUUAAUGAUGUGCAUAUAAGAACCCCCAUGAAUGCUCUAGCACAGUGAUUCUCAAAGUGUGGUCCCUAGACCAUCAGCAAGGUCUUUGGAAACUUGUUAGAAUGCAGUCUCAAGCCCCACCCCAGACUUACUGAAUCAAAAACUUUGAGAGAAGAGUUCAACAGGCUGUAUGUACUUAACAAGCCCUCCAGGUAGGCUCAAGUUUGGUACCUUCUGAGGUAGGCUCAAGGUUGAGAGCCUCUGCUUUUAAAUCACAGUAAGAGCUAUUCAAAAUCAUUAAGGUCAUUAGCUGUGACUUGAGCUCCAAGGUAUAGAAAAAAAAUCAAGCCAGUGGGAAAUUGUUCAAUAACUUUCAAAAUUUUCAAAGCAUAGGUGUCAAAGCCCUAUCUCGUAAAUUUCUUUUACUGAAUUGAUUUAUGUUGUUUAUCUGGAGGGGCAUAAAUUGGUAUUUUUAUUACUACUGGCUCCCUUAUAAAGCA